rnacentral:rRNA from 1 species
CCUACGGGAGGCUGCAGUGAGGAAUAUUGGUCAAUGGACGGGAGUCUGAACCAGCCAAGUAGCGUGAAGGAUGCCUGCCCUAUGGGUUGUAAACUUCUUUUAUAUGGGAAUAAAAUGUUCCACGUGUGGGAUUUUGUAUGUACCAUAUGAAUAAGGAUCGGCUAACUCCGUGCCAGCAGCCGCGGUAAUACGGAGGAUCCGAGCGUUAUCCGGAUUUAUUGGGUUUAAAGGGAGCGUAGGUGGAUUGUUAAGUCAGUUGUGAAAGUUUGCGGCUCAACCGUAAAAUUGCAGUUGAAACUGGAAGUCUUGAGUACAGUAGAGGUGGGCGGAAUGCGUGGUGUAGCGGUGAAAUGCUUAGAUAUCACGAAGAACUCCGAGUGCGAAGGCAGCUCACUGGACUGCAACUGACACUGAGGCUCGAAGGUGUGGGUAUCAAACAGGAUUAGAUACCCUAGUAGUC